rnacentral:lncRNA from 1 species
UCGUCAUGUGUGCCUUGAUUUCUUUCUUUCUGCCCAGCAUUAGGAUACCUAAAUAACCAAGUUUGAUCAAGGUGAGACUUCUCUUACAUUUAUAUUAACUAAACUUAUGUAAGUAGUGAGCCACUCUUCAAGAUUCCUUGCGCACAGAAAGAACUUAGAUUAACAAUAGAAAAUAAGAUUGAUGCCAAGGACUAUUGCCCUCUCCAAAAUCCAUGAAAAGCAAGAUACAAAGAGAGAUAUAUGAUGCCCACAUUGACUUGGAAAAAGAUGCAAUGCCAAUUAUAUUCUAGACGGAAUGUCACUGAUGAAUGUUUUCCAUUACCCCACCUAGUGAUUCUUGCAGAUCAUUCUGUCCUAGGGAGGACAUGGUGUGAUUGUUCUGCUUCUUUUAUAAACAUGCAAGAUGUAUACUUAUGGGGUCCCAUUCUGGAGCAUUUAUAUUCUUCUUAGAACAUAUUGAGAUGCACCACUUUUCCUAUCAUGGUUACAUAGAUGCCAUGAAGCUAGUGCCUCAGUUGCUUAUCAGAUCUCAAGUUGAUUGGAUGAGGCAUUCUGUUUGUAAGAAGAAGUCCUUUUACUUUCGGAACAAUUUAUAGAAAUAAGAUCCCAUUUUUGAAGGACAGGUAGACUUAGCAAAACUUGUCCAUUGAUGGUAAGGAGAUAAGCGAAAGAACUUAUUGCCCUUUUAGCCAUUUCAUAAUUUUAUCUUCGACUUGACCUUUAAACAUGUUAUGUAAUUGGACCUAACACAUCAAGAAUACUACUAAUUUUUUUCCCCUAAACAAUAGAGUCUUCUGAAUUCUGUUAAGCACUUGCUCAAACUACUAUAUUUUCAGAUUUAGAACUCAAUCCAAAUCUUUCCUAGUAGCUGUAGCUGAGAUGCAAGAUGUGAUCAAAAAAACUUAUUUUGAUAAUAUAAGGAUCCAGCUUUUCAUAUACUCUAUGAUGUUUAAGCAGAACAAUGUGCAAGCAAUCACCAGAAAUAAACAUAAGAGGAUAUAAACAUGUGGUCAAAUAAAAGAUUGUAUAUAUAGCCAACUGAUUUAGCUAACUGGCUAUUUGUAUAGCAUGGUCUCAAUUUUUGGUUACCAAAAUAUCAGAUACGGUCACUACAUUUGAGCAGGAGGGUCAUAACUAAAAUAGGACUUGAUGCUUCAUGUCCUAUACCACGGGAUAAAAGGCAAAUAAGGUGAGCAUCUCUUGGGGAAAAAAUGUUGAAAUAGAUGGAUGUUAAAUUGUAGAAUAACAUGAAUUGUGUGCACUGUUGGAUAUGUAGAUUUAUCUAUUAAGGAACACUGUUUGAGUAUCUGCAUAAAUAGUUCCAAGGCGCAUAAGAAAAAAUUGAAAAUAGCAUGGUAAGAAGAGGAGCAAAGACAAUUUUGAAGGAUCACGAGCACUUGGGCGGAUAGCAUCAUUCUUGCCAUUUGGGCAAGAAGUCAGGAGUUUAAUUCUGGUUGGAGUCAGCCCCAGGGCAGUAUGGGGUAGAAAAAGUAGGGAGUUAGCCUCUACAAGUCUCAGGAAAAAAAGGUAUAAAUAGUCAUGCAACUAAGCAAAAAUAAAUGGAAGGCUCCAACAAUGUAAAUGAUAAAAAUGAAUAUCUUUUCUCUCUCAAAAAGAAAAAAUAUAAAUAGAUGUAUAAGAUAUGGUCUAAAGUUUGUGUCUCCCAGAUAUUGCUUCUUGACCAUGAAAUUCUAGUCUCCAUACCCUUAUCCUGACUUCCUAGGAAGCCCUUCAAUGUUUCUCUAGCUGUUUUUUUUCCUUUUUCUUUUUCUUCUUGUGAAGUUUUCUUGUUGUUUUCUUAUGACUAAAAAGGGAAAAUUUCUCUAGCUGCUUAUUUUGAGUAGAAGCACAUAAUUAGUGAGAUACAAAGAUAAUCACAUAAAUAGAAAGAGAAACCAAUGAAGGUGUCAUACCUGUGGUUCUAAUUCUGCAGUCUUCCAUUUUCUGUAGGCAGACAAGGAGCUUUAGGCAAUGUGAGAGGCUAUUGCCGUCAAUCUAGAAUUACCUCCUCAAGAAUGGAUUUGAAGUGAAGACUUUCUUGGUGCAAUGCUGGGAGUUAUGCAAGGAGUGGUUCACAAAUUCGUUACAGUUGUGUUAUUCUUAUGUUAGUUGCAUUGGAUGUUUGUAUGAACUCUGGAGUUUUUUUUUAACUAAAUCUAAAUCCCUAGGAUUCUAUAUACCCUAUGAUUUUCCAAAUGUAACUGCUCCGCUUUAUGAUCUUAUAAUACUAGAGUAUGGCAUCCAUGAUACAUGUGGUUUCGCAUAUGCAGAGACAUGCACUCCAACUAGGGAGCUUGCAGAACUGUGACCUUCUGUAUUUAGUUGUUGCGAAACCUAAUAUAUCUGUGGCUUCACUAAUGAGGUGGAGGUCUCUGAGAUGGGAAUUAUCGAUCGUGUUGCAACUGCCUCUAAGCAAAACAAAGGAGAUUGAAAGCUUAUAUGAUAUGCUGCACUCAGUGCAUCCUGAAGGUGUGAGGAACAAACCCAUUAUGGAGAUGCAAGCAGACCGAACAUACCCAAUGAGAUCCUUUUAUCAUUUCAUUGGCAGUGGUAGUGCUCUCUGCCCAUAGUAUGGUGCCAUGUGGGAAGUGCAUGCACCUGAAAAAAUCAAAACCUCUUGUUGGUUGGCGUUCAAAAAUUGAUUGCAGUAGAUGUUCUGACAAGCAAGGGAUGGCAGGUUUCUU